CUGAAAUUCGCCUUCAUGAAGCCGGAAUUGCUAGUAAUGGCAGGUCAGCAUACUGCCGUGAAUACGUUCCCGGGGCCCUUGUACACACCGCCCGCCACACCAUGAGAGUUGGGAAUACCCGAAGCCUGUGAGCUAACUUUUAGAGGCAGCAGUCGAAGGUAGAAUCAAUGAUUGGGGUGAAGUCGUAACAAGGUAUC
rnacentral:rRNA from 1 species